rnacentral:rRNA from 1 species
UUUUGGUCAAGGAUGGACUCGCGGCCUAUCAGCUAGUUGGUGAGGUAAUGGCUCACCAAGGCGACGACGGGUAGCCGGCCUGAGAGGGUGACCGGCCACACUGGGACUGAGACACGGCCCAGACUCCUACGGGAGGCAGCAGUGGGGAAUAUUGCACAAUGGGCGAAAGCCUGAUGCAGCAACGCCGCGUGAGGGAUGACGGCCUUCGGGUUGUAAACCUCUUUUAGUAGGGAAGAAGCGAAAGUGACGGUACCUGCAGAAAAAGCACCGGCUAACUACGUGCCAGCAGCCGCGGUAAUACGUAGGGUGCAAGCGUUGUCCGGAAUUAUUGGGCGUAAAGAGCUCGUAGGCGGUUUGUCGCGUCUGCUGUGAAAUCUGGGGGCUCAACCCCCAGCCUGCAGUGGGUACGGGCAGACUAGAGUGCGGUAGGGGAGAUUGGAAUUCCUGGUGUAGCGGUGGAAUGCGCAGAUAUCAGGAGGAACACCGAUGGCGAAGGCAGAUCUCUGGGCCGUAACUGACGCUGAGGAGCGAAAGCGUGGGGAGCGAACAGGAUUAGAUACCCUGGUAGUCCACGCCGUAAACGUUGGGAACUAGAUG